rnacentral:rRNA from 1 species
CCCUUAGAUGUUCGGGGCCGCACGCGCGCUACACUGAAUGAAUCAGCGAGUGUAUGUCCUAGGCCGAAAGGUCCGGGUAACCCGUUGAACCUCAUUCGUGAUUGGGAUAGGGACUUGCAAUUGUUUCCCUUGAACGAGGAAUUCCCAGUAAGCGCAAGUCAUCAGCUUGCGUUGAUUACGUCCCUGCCCUUUGUACACACCGCCCGUCGCUACUCCCGAUUGAAUGGUUUAGUGAGGGCCUCGGAUUGGUCUCGGCCCGCUCUUUACCGGGCGGCGCCGUUGGUCGAGAAGACGCUCGAACUUGAUCGUUUAGAGGAAGUAAAAGUCGUAACA